ensembl:lncRNA
ACGGUCAUCUCUAAGUUUAUUUACGAUCGUAAAUAAUGGUUCGCUUGCUUGAGUUCUCAAUACAUGAUUCAUACAGAUACAGCAUUCAACUGGAAAGGAGCUCACGUACAUAUCUACUGUUGGUUACACUGAGAUACAGCAAUAUUGCUCAAGUGCACAAGCUUCGCUUACUCUACGGACAACGCUCGUGAACCAAGGGGUCGGAAACGGUCUGCGUAAACGCUAGUUUUGGCAAAUCGCUCUUGAUGAAGCGUAGCAUAGUGGCAGAAUUACAUACUAUAAAAACUAUGUAAGCUGGCGAAGAGGAAAGACUAAAACGUAAAAAGUUUAAAACAAAUUCAAUACGAGACUAAACACUGAAGGAUUUACUUGACCAUUUCAAUAAAAGGAUAUAGUUACAUCUGCAGAACCAAAUCAAUUGUACACUUACAUUUGGAUUUUUGGACUGAGCUUUAACUUACUGCUACUUGUGUUUGUGUGUGUGUUUGCAUAUUAGGUUUAAAAGAAAGGGGAAAAACAUGUGUUCCUUAUUCCCAUGGCUGUGAAAUAUCCAGAUGAAUUCUUCUAAACCCUGUUUGAACUGCAUCAAAAAUGCCCAAUGCUUUUACUAAAAGGAGCUCCUUUUUAUAGUCAUAUAUUAACGAACUGGCCGUCUCGACUGUGAUAUUCGGCGCGUUAAAUUUUUUUCGGAAAUGAUUUGGCACAUCCCAACGAAUAUAUCCUCCUUUAACCUUUAACAGAAAGUACUAGAUUGGGCGAAAUCUGUGAGCGCAUCUGCGUAAUAAACUGAGCAGAUUUUGUGACUAACAUAUCACAUAUAGGGAGCUGAUUUAUUACUCAAACGCAGUCCAUGCCUUGGAGAGCACCCAGCUGAUCCUCCUAUCGAAGUGUGAAUGUGUGACCUGGUUUUCUGGGGGCGUCGUUGCUUUCACGACUAGCGUGGAGUGCUCUGAUCAGACUGAAGCAGUCGGACAAUGGAGGGAUCGCUCUUGGCACCUUUGAUGAACUCCUCCAGGGAAAGCCUUCCUGCAAUAUGAAAGAGACAAAAGGUCAGUGAUGUCAUAACCAGGCAUAUUUCCAUGAUUAGGCGAAUUAUAUCGGAAUGUUAUUUCACAAUACGUGUAUAAAACAAAAAGCCGAGAAGG